rnacentral:rRNA from 1 species
AUGAGCAUACCCGGCCUCUGCAUAACUAUGAUGCACACAAUCAACAUUAAUGCACACACGAAAAAACACAUAGCAAAGAGCAAAGACAUAGAAGACCGAAACUAUGCCAGGUGGAGAGAGAAAAAAGAAAAAAAUCUUGAAGCGAUCAAAACAACGAUCAACUAUCCAACGAUUACCAUCGGCACCAACUAUUCCGUGACAACACAAAGACUACGAGAAAGGUUCUCCAAAAGCAAUGCCUCCAGAAAGGGACCGACGUGCAAACGCCGCCAUCGCCAGAUCCAACCACUGCAGGCAUCGUGA